rnacentral:rRNA from 1 species
GAUCAUGGCUCAGGAUGAACGCUGGCGGCGUGCUUAACACAUGCAAGUCGAGCGAAGCACUUAAGAAAGAUUCUUCGGAUGAUUUCUUAAGUGACUGAGCGGGCGGACGGGUGAAGGUAACGCGUGGGUAACCUGCCUCAUACAGGGGGAUAACAGUUAGAAAUGACUGCUAAUACCGCAUAAGCGCACAGUGCUGCAUGGCACAGUGUGAAAAACUCCGGUGGU